rnacentral:lncRNA from 1 species
ACUGAUAGAUGUUAAGUUCUGAUAUUUUCUUACUCAAAGAAGUCAACAUGCUUACAUUGAUACUAUAUCACAAUGGAUAAGAAAUGAGACAAGAGUAAGACUUAGCUCUUAGGAAGCCCGACUGCCCUGUUCCCAUCAAGUUAGAACGGCGAACCUCACCGUUUCAGGACCCAGCGUCGACGACAGCCCUUACUGAUUUCCUUUGAAGCAAAACACAAUCUGUGGAACCCAAGCCGACGGCACGACGGCACAUCGAACCGGAACCGCGGUGACAUCGCUGGGUUCAGGUAGAGAGAGAUAAUUAGGGCUCGGUACGAUUUUGAGGUUGGGAGUUUGAGAAAAUGAGAAGGAUUGAGUGAAGAGGAUGAGAGAGGGAAGGGCUGCACCUCGCCGACCCUCCACUGGCAGCGGCGAUUCGCCGGAGGAGCAGCUAGGGCACGUAUUUUGUGAGUAAAGUUUGGGGCUUUGUGUCUUCUUCAUAAGAAUUGAGAGAGUGGGGAUUGAGAGGGAGACGAGGGAAGNAGCGGCGAUUCGCCGGAGGAGCAGCUAGGGCACGAUUUUGUGAGAAAUUUUGGGGCUUUGUGUCUUCUUCAUAAGAAUUGAGAGAUGGGGGAUUGAGAAGGAGACGAGGGAAGGGCUGCACCUCGCCGACCCUCCACUGGCAGCGAUUCGCCGGAGGAGCAGCUAGGGCACGAUUUUGUGAGUAAAUUUGGGGCUUUGUGUCUUCUUCAUAAGAAUUGAGAGAUGGGGGAUUGAGAGGGAGACGAGGGAAAGGAGACGAGGGAAGUGUGACGAGCUUGGUGGCUGUCGUUGCUGCGGCCGCGGAGGACAGAGGGAGGGCGUGAUUCUAUGGCCGGAGUUGAGAGAGAGAGAAAGCUGGGGGAUGAGGGACGAGAUAGAGAGUAGGGGGUAAAGGGAGGAAUGUUAGAGUUUUAUUUUUUAUAAUAUUAUUAAAUUUAAAA